GAAGGCAGCAAGCGUCCAGGAGUUGGAGCAGCCAUCGAUGCCCAAGAGAGCAGCGUGUCCAAUGAUGAGGCCUCUGUGUCGAGCAGAGGAGUUUAACAGAGAAAUAAGGUUUACAUCAAGACUUUGAUCCAAAGAAAUCAUCUGCAAGAUUGAGGAAGCUGCAAAAGUGUCAAGUUUUUAAUUAGUUAAUGGUUAUUGCAGAUAGUCUCAGUUCAUAUCAUAUUUUAACCAUCUAUGUAUUUGAAUAGAGAGACAUGUGAUAUAUUUUAUCCAGUACAAUUUUCAUAAAGUACAGGCAAAUGUUGUCAUAUAUUUUUGUUGGUUAAAUUUAAGUUUUGCGGUCUUCA